ensembl:lncRNA
GACACAGCAGGGCCUGCUGGGCACGGCGGCCGGGGUCCUGCUCAGCAUCCUCCUCCUGGGCGCCGUCCUCGCCGUCCUCGCCGUCCGCCGCUUCAAGGCGCUGCUGCUGGAGGCCAGGGCCGAGCAGAGCCGCAGCAGCUAUCGCCGUUUCUGCCGCCUGGACGAUGUCUCUGCCCAGUACUGGUCCGGCUCGGGGCUGCCCUCGGCCAGCUCGCUGGACAACCCGGCCUUCAGCAACUCGGAGGAGCUGCUGCAGCUCCGGGUCCUGGACAGCGGCUGCCAGGGGGACUCGGCUGUCACCAACGGUGCCAAGCGGGGCCCGGCGCCCUGCGCCCACCCGCAGUGCCAGCCCAGGUAGGGACUCUCUUCCCAGCCCGUGGAGCAGGGCCGGGCCCGGGGCUCGCUCGGGGGGCUCUGGUGACUCUGGGCAGGGAGGGCUUUGGGGCACACAGAGCCCUGGAACCGUGUUUGCAUCCCUGCCCAGCCUGUGUCUGCUCCACCACGGACAGUGCCGGGAGCUCUGACAGCCCCCCAGCCCCUGGAGUCCUUGGAGCAGCACCUAGUUUAUUUUAUUUUCUCCCACGGGAGGAGCUGGCACUGCUGUAAGGGAGGAGAGUUCUCAUCUGCAGGAAAGGGUGGCUCUGUGUGCUCAUGGGAAAAUCAAAUCAGCUUCCAGGGGUGUCCACGGAAAAAGCCCUGGAAGUUUCCAGCUCUACUGGCAAAGGGCAGGAUGGGCAGGAACACCCCCAGCCGUGGGAGGAUCAGGAGCAAAGCCACAGCUCCGGGUGCUCCCUCAGCUCUGGGGCCUGAGCUUGGCACUGUCCCAACUUCAUCAUCCCCAGGGCACAGCAGAGUUCCUCUCCUACACCAGCCUGACUCCUACCCCCUUCUCUUGACUGUCCAUGGAUUCUUUUCCCAGUUUCCAUUACGACUGGGACACCAGCUCCAGCAGCAUGAAUGACCCCAUGGUGGACUCGGGGAAAGCCAGCGACAUCUCCGUGUCGAGCUGGCCCAUGGAGCCCAUCCAGUGGGCUCCCUUCCCUCUCCUCCACCAGCUCUCCAGGCAGCGACCGCGCAAGGCCCGCUGGCCGCAGUCGUUCUGCGAGGGGCUGGAGCUGGGCACCCUGGAGCGGAGCUGGACGGCCUGAGGCCACGGACAACGGACAGCAACGAGGUUCAGCUUUAAAACCAACCACAUUUUAUUUCCACGUAACGAGCUCAGUGAAGGAAUUCCACACACUUGGACGAUACAAUCAACACGGGUGUGAUGUCAGUGAUGUCAGUCCCAGCGGGGCGGGGGCCCGGCGAGCCCCUGCCCCGGUUCCUGUCCGGGCCUCGCACGCUCUGGCUGGGACUGCGGACUCCAGAGCAGGCAGAUACAGAGAGGUGUCAGGACACACAGUGCUGGCAUCCACCAGGUCAGGACUUACAGGGGCAGUCCGGGCAGAAAGGCUGGCGGCUCCGGAGGGCGCGUGGCGCUCGGGCCAGGACGAGCUCAGCCACACCGCGGGGAGAUGCACGAAAGCGCUGCUGCGUCGUUCAUCACCAUUCAUGUCAAUGAGGUAUAAACACCAGGAUGUUGUAAGCAUUAAAGUUUAUUUUCCAAAAUGCUCUCCUUAUUCGCACGUGUCCUCUGGAGCAUCGAGCUGGGCACAAAUGGUGGGGGCUGGAAAUGGGGCGCUGCACGGAGGGAGAGGGCAACGGGGUCCCAAAGGUGCUCGGAUAGAAAAGGAAAAGCAAGCUGCAGUUCUACACUUAGACUCUCAUAGUCUCAGAGGGGGCACGUUGAGGGAGAUUUUUGCUAGAAUAAAAUGCAGAUCUCUUCAUAAAAAAAUCAGUUUGCUAAAAGAAAAUUCAACCUAUGGGAAUACAGAGCUAUCGGAUCGGUCGAUAUUCUCAUCGUAUAGAAAACAGCCUACAAAUAAAGUCACAAAAAAUAGACAGUUAUAUGCUGAGCAGCCAAAAACAUCAUGA